UCCUGAUCCAGAUACUCUAUAUAAGUGGAGUCCAAACUUCAGCUCUUCACAACCUUCCUGUCAAGUCAUUCGAAGCAGAGAAGACUCUACGCUGAAAUCACUGCAACCAUGCUGAAGGUAGCACUUAUCUUUGGAUGCCUCCUGAGCCUCAUUGUGGCUGAACCUAUGGAGCACCAGCGCGUUGCUCGCUCUGGAUCCAACUCCAAUGAGGUCUCAACAACCAACUUGGCCACCCUGCUAUCCCAGCUCCUGCGGCUUCUCGCCACCACCACAACUACAACUACAACAAAAGCUACAACUACAACAAAGGCUGCUACUACAUAAAAUGGAGACUUGAACAUCAGCAAAUUUGUCAUGUGUUGAGAAAGUUGUCAUUUUUUCCCUCUCUCUCAAUUUUCAAUGAUAUCAGAAAUCAGUUUCCAAUAUCAUUGAAACAUGGAUCAAACCUGCUGUCAUGUUUGGUUUUGUGCUUAAUAAAGUUCAGCAAAAAUAGAAACA